GCCCUUGAGUUUGAUCCUGGCUCAGGAUGAACGUUGGCGGUGUGCCUAAUACAUGCAAGUCGAACGGAGUUAGUAGCAAUACUGGCUCAGUGGCGAACGGGUGAGUAACGCGUUGGUGAUCUGCCUUGAAGUGUGGAAUAACGUUUCGAAAGGAACGCUAAUACCGCAUGUGCUCUCGAUUUUCAGAAAGUUGAGAGUAAAGGAUUUAUUCGCUUCAAGAGGAGCCUGCGUCCCAUCAGCUGGUUGGUAGGGUAACGGCCUACCAAGGCUAUGGCGGGUAGGGGACCUGAGAGGGUGGCCCCCCACAAUGGAACUGAGACACGGCCCAGACUCCUACGGGAGGCAGCAGUGGGGAAUAUUGCGCAAUGGGCGAAAGCCUGACGCAGCAACGCCGCGUGCGGGAUGACGGCCUUCGGGUUGUAAACCGCUUUCAGCAGGGACGAAGGGUUUCUGACGGUACCUGCAGAAGAAGCACCGGCUAACUACGUGCCAGCAGCCGCGGUGAUACGUAGGGUGCGAGCGUUGUCCGGAAUUAUUGGGCGUAAAGAGCUUGUAGGCGGUCCGUUGCGUCGGAAGUGAAAACUCGGGGCUUAACCCCGAGCCUGCUUUCGAUACGGGCGGACUUGAGGGAUGUAGGGGAGAACGGAAUUCCUGGUGGAGCGGUGGAAUGCGCAGAUAUCAGGAGGAACACCAGUGGCGAAGGCGGUUCUCUGGACAUUUCCUGACGCUGAGAAGCGAAAGCGUGGGGAGCAAACAGGCUUAGAUACCCUGGUAGUCCACGCCGUAAACGGUGGGCACUAGGUGUGGGACCCAUUUCCACGGGGUUCCGUGCCGUAGCUAACGCAUUAAGUGCCCCGCCUGGGGAGUACGGCCGCAAGGCUAAAACU
rnacentral:rRNA from 1 species